rnacentral:tRNA from 1 species
UGAGAGCUGGUGGACAUUGUGACACAAAUGAAUUUGAAUCAUUAAAAGGAAUUAAAAUUUCCGCUUUCAA